rnacentral:rRNA from 1 species
GACGAACGCUGGCGGCGUGCUUAACACAUGCAAGUCGAACGCUGAAGCUCAGCUUUUGUUGGGUGGAUGAGUGGCGAACGGGUGAGUAACACGUGAGUAACCUGCCUCCUUCUUUGGGAUAACGCCCGGAAACGGGUGCUAAUACUGGAUAUUCACUGGUCUUCGCAUGGGGGUUGGUGGAAAGGGUUUUUCUGGUGGGGGAUGGGCUCGCGGCCUAUCAGCUUGUUGGUGGGGUGGUGGCCUACCAAGGCUUUGACGGGUAGCCGGCCUGAGAGGGUGACCGGUCACAUUGGGACUGAGAUACGGCCCAGACUCCUACGGGAGGCAGCAGUGGGGAAUAUUGCACAAUGGGCGCAAGCCUGAUGCAGCGACGCCGCGUGAGGGAUGGAGGCCUUCGGGUUGUGAACCUCUUUCGCUCAUGGUCAAGCCGCAACAAUGGUUGUGGUGAGGGUAGUGGGUAAAGAAGCGCCGGCUAACUACGUG